AACGAACGCUGGCGGCAGGCCUAACACAUGCAAGUCGAGCGAGGACUUCGGUCCUAGCGGCGGACGGGUGCGUAACGCGUGGGAACGUGCCCUUUGCUUCGGAAUAGCCCUGGGAAACUGGGAGUAAUACCGGAUGAGCCCUUUGGGGGAAAGAUUUAUCGGCGAAGGAUCGGCCCGCGUUGGAUUAGGUAGUUGGUGGGGUAAUGGCCUACCAAGCCGACGAUCCAUAGCUGGUUUGAGAGGAUGAUCAGCCACACUGGGACUGAGACACGGCCCAGACUCCAGCGGGAGGCAGCAGUGGGGAAUCUUCGACAAUGGGGGAAACCCUGAUCUAGCCAUGCCGCGUGAGCGAUGAAGGCCUUAGGGUUGUAAAGCUCUUUCAGCUGGGAAGAUAAUGACGGUACCAGCAGAAGAAGCCCCGGCUAACUCCGUG
rnacentral:rRNA from 1 species